GCUCGUUUAGCUCAGUGGUAGAGCGCCAGUCUAGUAAACUGGAGGUCGGGUGUUCGAUCCACCCAAUGAGCA
rfam:Fonticula alba strain ATCC 38817 unplaced genomic scaffold supercont2.4, whole genome shotgun sequence.